CUGCCUGCUUUCUCUGAGCUUUGGAGAAUGAUUUCUAUUUCCUGCUCUCUAAUCUUCUGUUUCCAAGUUGUGAGUACAGAGAUCAUGUAUUUACAUGUCUAUAGUUGCUGGAGUGCUUUGAAUUGUAUUCUUUUUGAAUAAGGCUGUUUAUUCAAUAUUCUUUUAAGCAAUUGACCCUGUAUUGAUCACCUUAAUACAGAGAGACCAUUUGUAUGUAUUUUUCUUUCUUUUUUUAUAUAAAGCUUUGCUUUUGAGA